UCUCAUUGACAAUGAAGAGAAGCAAACAGGCAGCGUCUACGAGCACUGGGACAUUCUUCCCCCAAAGAAAAUCAAGGACCCAGAUGCUAAGAAGGUAUAGCUAUGAUAUUGGUUGCCCUCUUUGAACUUUCUUGUGUUUCUUCAGAAAUAACAGUGGUUUUGUAUUAUAGCAUGUCUGCUGCUACUAGCAUUCGCAGCCCUUGUAUGGAAAUGUAAGAGAAGAGGCAAACAACAAAAGAAGAAAGUCCAAAAGAAAAUGAUGCUAGAGUACUUGAGAUCUACUGAUGAAGCAGGGAACAAGAAUAUAGAGUUCCCAUUUGUUGGCUUCAACGACAUUGUUGCAGCAACAGAUAAUUUCUCUGACACCAACAUGCUUGGCAAGGGAGGUUUUGGUAAAGUUUACAAGGGAUUGUUGGGUGGUC